rnacentral:rRNA from 1 species
GCGAGUGGCGAACGGGUGAGUAAUGUAUCGGAACGUGCCCAGUAGCGGGGGAUAACUACGCGAAAGCGUGGCUAAUACCGCAUACGCCCUACGGGGGAAAGGGGGGGAUCUUAGGACCUCUCACUAUUGGAGCGGCCGAUAUCGGAUUAGCUAGUUGGUGGGGUAAAGGCCUACCAAGGCGACGAUCCGUAGCUGGUUUGAGAGGACGACCAGCCACACUGGGACUGAGACACGGCCCAGACUCCUACGGGAGGCAGCAGUGGGGAAUUUUGGACAAUGGGGGAAACCCUGAUCCAGCCAUCCCGCGUGUGCGAUGAAGGCCUUCGGGUUGUAAAGCACUUUUGUCAGGGAAGAAAAGGUUUCGGAUAAUACCCGGAGCUGAUGACGGUACCUGAAGAAUAAGCACCGGCUAACUACGUGCCAGCAGCCGCGGUAAUACGUAGGGUGCAAGCGUUAAUCGGAAUUACUGGGCGUAAAGCGUGCGCAGGCGGUUCGGAAAGAAAGAUGUGAAAUCCCAGGGCUCAACCUUGGAACUGCAUUUUUAACUACCGAACUAGAGUAUGUCAGAGGGGGGGUGGAAUUCCACGUGUAGCAGUGAAAUGCGUAGAUAUGUGGAGGAACACCGAUGGCGAAGGCAGCCCCCUGGGAUAAUACUGACGCUCAUGCACGAAAGCGUGGGGAGCAAACAGGAUUAGAUACCCUGGUAGUCCACGCCCUAAACGAUGUCAACUAGCUGUUGGGCCCUUCGGGGCUUAGUAGCGCAGCUAACGCGUGAAGUUGACCGCCUGGGGAGUACGGUCGCAAGAUUAAAACUCAAAGGAAUUGACGGGGACCCGCACAAGCGGUGGAUGAUGUGGAUUAAUUCGAUGCAACGCGAAAAACCUUACCUACCCUUGACAUGUCUGGAAUCCUGAAGA